rfam:Candidatus Melainabacteria bacterium RIFCSPLOWO2_12_FTLL_35_11 rifcsplowo2_12_scaffold_148, whole genome shotgun sequence.
GCCGGUGUGACGAAAUGGCAAACGUAGCUGACUCAAAAUCAGCCGAGCGUAAGCUCUUGUGGGUUCAAGUCCCUCCACCGGCA